rnacentral:rRNA from 1 species
CCUACGGGAGGCAGCAGUGGGGAAUAUUGGACAAUGGGGGGAACCCUGAUCCAGCGACGCCGCGUGAGUGAAGAAGUAUUUCGGUAUGUAAAGCUCUAUCAGCAGGGAAGAAAGAAAUGACGGUACUUGACUAAGAAGCCUCGGCUAACUACGGGCCAGCAGUCGCGGUAAUACGUAGGGGGCAAGCGUUAUCCGGAUUUACUGGGUGUAAAGGGAGCGUAGACGGUUACGCAAGUCAGGAGUGAAAGGCAGGGGCCCAACCCCCAGACUGCUUUGGAAACUGGCUGACUGGAGUGCAGGAGAGGUAAGUGGAAUUCCUGGUGUAGCGGUGAAAUGCGUAGAUAUUAGGAGGAACACCAGUGGCGAAGGCAGCUUACUGGACUGUAACUGACGUUGAGGCUCGAAAGCGUGGGGAGCAAACAGGAUUAGAUACCCGUGUAGUC